rnacentral:miRNA from 1 species
CCAAUAUAAAUCAUUCUAGUAC